UAACAGGCUUAUCUCCCCCAAGAGUUCACAUCGACGGGGAGGUUUGGCACCUCGAUGUCGGCUCAUCGCAUCCUGGGGCUGUAGUCGGUCCCAAGGGUUGGGCUGUUCGCCCAUUAAAGCGGUACGCGAGCUGGGUUCAGAACGUCGUGAGACAGUUCGGUCCCUAUCCGUCGUGGGCGUAGGAAAUUUGAGAGGAGCUGUCCUUAGUACGAGAGGACCGGGAUGGACAUACCUCUGGUGUACCAGUUGUCGUGCCAACGGCAUAGCUGGGUAGCUAUGUGUGGACGGGAUAAGUGCUGAAAGCAUCUAAGCAUGAAGCCCCCCUCAAGAUGAGAUUUCCCAACUUCGGUUAUAAGAUCCCUCAAAGAUGAUGAGGUUAAUAGGUUCGAGGUGGAAGCAUGGUGACAUGUGGAGCUGACGAAUACUAAUCGAUCGAAGACUUAAUCAAAA
rnacentral:rRNA from 1 species